AUUGAACGCUGGCGGAAUGCUUUACACAUGCAAGUCGAGCGGCAGCGCGGGGCAACCUGGCGGCGAGCGGCGAACGGGUGAGUAAUACAUCGGAACGUGCCCAGACGUGGGGGAUAACUACUCGAAAGAGUGGCUAAUACCGCAUACGAUCUACGGAUGAAAGCGGGGGAUCGCAAGACCUCGCGCGUCUGGAGCGGCUGAUGGCAGAUUAGGUAGUUGGUGGGAUAAAAGCCUACCAAGCCAACGAUCUGUAGCUGGUCUGAGAGGAUGAUCAGCCACACUGGGACUGAGACACGGCCCAGACUCCUACGGGAGGCAGCAGUGGGGAAUUUUGGACAAUGGGCGAAAGCCUGAUCCAGCCAUUCCGCGUGCAGGAUGAAGGCCCUCGGGUUGUAAACUGCUUUUGUACAGAACGAAAAAGCUCUGGCUAAUACCUGGAGUCCAUGACGGUACUGUAAGAAUAAGCACCGGCUAACUACGUG
rnacentral:rRNA from 2 species